AACAAUUGGAAACGAAUGCUAAUACCCCAUAUGCUUUUGAGUGAAAUGGAUUUAUAUUUAUCUGCCUAGAGAGAAGCUCGCGGCUGAUUAGCUUGUUGGUAAGUAAGAGCUUACCAAGGCGACGAUCAGUAUCUGGUUUGAGAGGACGAUCAGACACACUGGAACUGAGACACGGUCCAGACUCCUACGGGAGGCAGCAGUGGGGAAUUUUCCGCAAUGGGCGAAAGCCUGACGGAGCAAUACCGCGUGAGGGAAGACUGCCUAUGGGUUGUAAACCUCUUUUUUCA
rnacentral:rRNA from 1 species